CAAAAUAAUGACAACGAAAAUAACAUCAAGGAGACAUUGGAACAGCAUCGGCAACAGCAACAGGCCUUUUCAGGUAUGAGUCACGUGGAAUAUUCCAGAAUUACA
rnacentral:other from 1 species